CCAACUUUCUCGUCCGAACAAUAGCGCCGUUUGUCCCUUUCCAAUCUUUAAGCGAACACUCCAAGCACCCUAUCCUCUCAAAACCGAAUCUUCCAACGCAACCUCAUCUUUCCAUUAUCAUUAACCUUCGAGCACACCUCAUCGCGGUAAUUGUUUCCCAAUCUCAAAGUUCCAUGGAACCUCAGAAACUCCGAAUUAAUUCUUGCAAACUUCUUCGUUUCUAAUUCAAAUUCAACGACUGCGCGGCAUCUCAGGCACGGCGGAAUCAAGAAGCUUGACAAAAAACACUUAUUUGACUAAGCAGUCUCUUCAGUGGCGAUAAACGAAUAUUUUACCACCGCGAUACGACGCCCCUUACUCAGAACGUUUCUGUCUCGGCUUCGAACUUGGUUUCGAUAUUAAGGAGAGAACACAAAUAUAUGGAAAGGGAAGAUUGGGACUUACCAACGGAGGGGAGAUAUCCUCCGGUCCAUUCGAAACGUUGUUGUCGGAGACUGCGGGAGAGAACCAAAGUUGCUUUUAACUCCAGGCGAAUUAUGGAUCGUCGAGCGUGUUUGAUUCUUUGCAGGGUGAAUUUCGAUUCGCAUAAUGGCUGAGAUUCGGCUGCAGGAAGGUGGAGAAGACGAGACUGAGAGAAUGAAGAAUACUGAUGCAGAAUCAGGAAUCUUGAGAUGCAGACUGAAUAAGCUCUUGGAGCGGAGUGAAGAAGAGAGAGUUGCAGAAAUGAAGAAGAGAAAGUUGCAGAAAUGAAGAAGCUCCUCAAUCACAGUGCAGGACUUGGUUUGUGACUUGGGAAGGCUUGAAGAUCUUCAUUGUGAAUGUUAAGACUUUUAAUGACAACUCAGUCAGAUUUGGUUACAAAUUCUGUUAGCAUUGAGAUAGGUCUGCUUAACCUAAAUUUGAAUUAUUAGAAGGGAAGUCAUUGGUUGUAAAAGGAGCAUAAUCAGAUUGACAUGAACAAGCUCCAAAAUCUUACUAGUCUGUUACAGUAUUAGAGUUGCCAAAUGAGACUUAUGAUUUUGCUAAUUUCUUUAUUGAAUUCAAAUGGUUUGAACAAGUGUUACUCGUGUUAAUAUGUAGUUACAACCUUUAUUAUUA